rnacentral:snRNA from 1 species
UUGCUUUGACAGCACAUAUACUAAAAUCAGAAUAAUACAGAGAAGAUGAGCAUGGUCCCUGCACAAGGAUGACAUGCAAAUUUGUGAAGCAUUCCAUAUUUUU